GCCCCACACCGGGUGAGGGGGUUCCCGCAGGAAGGUAGUAAAGCCGGAUAUUGAUGUUUAAGGUUGAUGGAGUGACGUAAAAGCGGUCCACUCACAAGAUGUCCCGGCCCAGAAUGCCAGAGGCCAGGUGCUGCCGCCGCCCUAGGCGUGCCAAGGAACAGAGGCGAGCAGGCAAGUUGGCAUUAAGGUACCAUGAGCCGGUGUGGAGCCAAGUUUGGAAACAGUGUAAGAGACAGUCCAAAGAUCCCUCAUUUGCCUCAGGAUCAUUGCCGAGGACAGAGACUGAGCACAGGAGUCCUGGCCUGGCUGAGGUGGGAAGGACUGCGCUGAAGGGGAAAGGAAUGACCUGUCCUGUACACCUGUCUUGUACGUCUGUCCUGUACCCAUUUCCCAAAGCAACGGACCCCAUAACAACAGCUGUAGGUUUCCCAACCUCUUGGCCAGUUGCCCCUCACUUCUGAAAAGGACAUAAAGGGACUUUCUGAAAUAACCGCGUCUGAGA